CCCUUAGAUGUUCUGGGCCGCACGCGCGCUACACUGAUACAUGCAACGAGUUUAUAACCUUGAUCUGACGGUCUGGGUAAUCUUCAAACUGUAUCGUGUUAGGGAUCGAUUCUUGCAAUUUUUAAUCGUAGACGAGGAAUUCCUAGUAAACGCAAGUCAUCAGCUUGCAUUGAUUACGUCCCUGCCCUUUGUACACACCGCCCGUCGACUCUACCGAUUGAAUGGUUCGGUGAAAACUUUGGACUGUGGCAUUGUCCUUCAUUGGACUUCGCCGUAGGAAAUUGUUUAAACCUCAUCAUUUAGAGGAAGAAUAAGUCGUAACA
rnacentral:rRNA from 1 species